rnacentral:lncRNA from 1 species
AUGCUCCUUUUGGGCCUCCCUGUUGUUGUGCUCCUUGUGAGCCUCCUUGUUGGGGUGCUCCUUGUGAGCCUUCUUGUUGGGGUGCUCCUUGGGGGCCUCUUUGUUGGGGUCCUCCUUGUUGGGGUGCCCCUUGGCCUUCCUGUUGUGCUCCUCUUGGUCCUCCCUGUUGGGGUCCUCUGUGUGGACCUCUUUGUUGGGGUCUCCCUUGUUGGCCUCCCUGUUGAGGUCCUCCUUGUGGUCCUUCCUGUUGGGGUCCUCCUUGUGUGCCUCUUUGUUGGGGUCCUCCUUGUUGGGGUGCCCCUUGGCCUCCCUGUUGUGCUCCUUGUGGGCCUCCCUGUUGGGGUCCUCCUUGUGGGCCUCCCUUUUGCGGUCUUCCUUGUGGGCCUCAUUGUUGGGGUCCUCCUUGUUGGGGUGCCCCUUGUGGGCCUCCCUGCUGGGGUCCACCUUGUUGGGGUGCUCCUUGUGGGCCUCCCUGCUGGGGUCCUCCUUGUUGGGGUGCUCCUUGUGGGCCUCCUCGUUGAGGUCCACCUUGUUGGGGUGCUCCUUGUGGGCCUCCUCGUUGAGCUCCACCUUGUUGGGGUGCUCCUUGUGGGCCUCCCUGCUGGGGUCCUCCUUGUUGGGGU